GCCUACGUGGUGUAGUGGUCAGCACGCUGGGCGCGUAUUCCAGAGGUCCGUGGUUUGAGUCCCGGCGAAGGUG
rnacentral:tRNA from 1 species